rnacentral:lncRNA from 1 species
UGAUAAGUUACUUUUAAGCUUAAACUGACAUUCUUUACAAUGAUCCAAUGAUCCAAACCAAGUGACAUAACAUUAAUCAAAACAUUAUGAACUCAGCUAAUCUAGUACACGAGGUGCUAAACUAUUGACUGUAACAAUUCCUCUUGGUGUAGAUGGAAAUGAAUCCGUCAAUAAAACUUUAAAACCAUGCUGGCCUAAAUCCCCGCUUCAAGGACUUCAAGAUCUUCAAGGAUACCCUUCAAAAACUGGAUGGAUUAAAUGAAUUCAGCAAGCUGGAUUCGAAAUUGCCAGUUGGUGGAGAGCAGAAUCGAUACUUCCAUUGAAUGGUGCGUGAGUAGAGAGCAGAGAGUUAGAAGCAGCUGUACAUAUCCAGAAGAGUGAUAGAGAGAGAGAAAUAGUGGGUGAGAGAGAGAGAAUUGUGUUGCUGGAAAAUAGUUAGUGGGGUAUUACAAUUAAUAUUGAGUUGCUGGCUUAGAGUGAAAUUAUUUAGUGUGUGGUAAGGUGUGUGUGUGUCAAAAAUUAAUUGUACAAGUUGCUUUUGUGUUCCAAAAUUCAUCAAGACCAACCGUAUGCAAAGGCGAAAAUCAAACUUAAGACUGGAAAUC